rnacentral:rRNA from 1 species
UUCAAGCCCUAGCUCAACCACCCCUUCAAAAACUACCCAAUAAACCAAACAAACCAUUUGAUACCACUAGUAAAGGAGAUUGAACAU